rnacentral:rRNA from 1 species
UGGUGGAGUGAUUUGUCUGGUUAAUUCCGAUAACGAACGAGACCUUAACCUGCUAAAUAGUCACACGAACUUCUUGUUCGUGGCUGCACUUCUUAGAGGGACUAUGGAUGUUUAAUCCAUGGAAGUUUGAGGCAAUAACA